rnacentral:rRNA from 1 species
CAAUAGCGUAUAUUAAAGUUGUUGCAGUUAAAAAGCUCGUAGUUGGAUUUCGGGGUGGCCUGCCUGGUCCACCGCAAGGUGAGUACUGGUCAGCCGCCCUUCCUCUCGAAAGCCCCGACUGCUCUUCAUUGCAGUGGUCGGGUAGUUCGGGACGUUUACUUUGAAAAAAUUAGAGUGUUCAAGGCAGGCUCUCGCCUGAAUACAUUAGCAUGGAAUAAUGGAAGAGGACCUCGGUCCUAUUUUGUUGGUUUCUAGGGCCGAAGUAAUGAUUAAGAGGGACAGUUGGGGGCAUUCGUAUUUCAUUGUCAGAGGUGAAAUUCUUGGAUUUAUGAAAGACGAACUACUGCGAAAGCAUUUGCCAAGGAUGUUUUCAUUAA